GGUCCUCAAGAACAUAAGGUUUUAUUUAUUCUUAAAGAUUAAAAGGUCAAGUGAUCCGUAUUUAUUGCUAGAAUUAUGCACGGGCUGAUGCAGCAAAUGGAACAAAGACUUGGUGGAAAAACCCUACUUUUCCAUCAUUUUCCCCCUUCAGCCGAACACCUAUUUGUAGUGGACAAACACAUACUGAACACAUACUAUGGUCCUACCAGGCACUUUGACAGGCACUGAGGACAGGAAAAUAAAAAAGAAAAGUGGCCUGGUAUCUGCCCUCCACAGAGUUUAGUAGAGACUAAGGGGAUUAAAUAU